GCUUUCUCUUGCUCUGCAGUGGCCACCUAGAAGCCACAUAUUUCAGAGAGUGGAACCGCAAGACGCAAACUGACUUGCCCUAACUCUCCACUUUGGAAGGGAACUACCUGGGAGAGGCCCCAAGAUCCACACCUAACUUUGCAUGGGAGACUAUGUCCUGCAGACCUGAUGCUCAUGUUCCUGGACCGGGGCUUCCUCUUUGGAACAAAGGAAGAUGGCACUGCCCUUCAGGUGGCUCUUUUCUAUGUGGCUAUGACUGGCCAGCCCCUCAUCCACAGGUUGACACCAUGGGAGGGAGACAGCCUAGUGCAGAAGUGACACGCACUGAGCCAGGCUGUCUGGAAUCAAAUCCGGGUUGCCAGCCCUGUGACUUGGGCAAGUUACUUCCCCUCUCCAUGCCUCCAUGUCCUUACCUGGAAAAUAAGGAUAUUUUUACCUACCUCAGUAGAACUGUUGUGAGAAUUAAAUGAGUUAGUCCAUAGAAAAUGCUAAGAUCAGUUCUUGCCCCUAUGGGAAGCAUCAGAAAAAAUAUACAUAUUAGUUAUUUACCAGCAUUUAAGUUACAGUCAUUUAAUAUGCAUCACACUCUUGUUCUUUAAUUAUUUGUUUGCUAGUUUACUGACUGCUUCCCUCACAAGAACACAAGCUUCAUGAAAGCAAGGACACUGUCUUGUUCACUGUAUUAUCCCUUCUGCCCAGAACAAUGUCGGCCACAAAGAGAGCGCUAAGAAAUAAUUUGUUCAAUGAAUGGAUAAAUGAAUGAAGUUGAGGCCUGUUGGCCAGGGAGCCCUCUCUCUUUUUGGGAUGACUUUGCCUAUCUCUGCUCAGCUCUGUUACAUGUUUUAUACUGUAGCCCCCAGAGAGCAUCUCUCACUCUCUUAAGUCCCUUGAGUAGUAGAUAAGAGCAGGUACUGUGGAAUUCCAAUCUACCCUUAUUAAUUCUGUGACUAAUUUAAAUGCAGGUAAAUGAUAACCAAUAUGUAUAUUUUUUCUGAUCCUUCCCAUGGUGCUGAGAACUGUUCUUAGCAUUUUCUGUGGACUAACUCAUUUAAUUUUCACAACAGCUCUACUGAGGUAUGCAAACCACUGGACUUCGUAAGCUUCAGUUUCCUCUUCUGAAAAAUGAACAUAAUAGGACCUACCUUCCAGGGUUCAUUGUGAGGACUAAAGGAGGUAGUCCUCACACAGUCCCUGGCUUGGGAGCACUCAAGAAGCAUUCACUGGGCUGGUUUUGCCCUUCGGGACAGCAGGGCUCCACAUGGUUCUUCCACAUUUAAAGCCUGUCUCCUUUCCUGACUGGGCAGCAUAAACAGGUUUGGGGGCAUCUACUAUCCCCUGACCCCUGUCUUCUGCCCUCCACCCUCUGCCUUCCAUUUCAGACAGUCACCUGCCGUAGGUAGAGUGAUGGUCUGGGGCUUUUGAAGUUGGAGUUUGCAAGGCUGGGCCAUGCCAGGCUACCCCCCGCGAGCUCUCUAGGAGCAGAGGACAGCCAAGUCCUCGGAGGCCGCCCCUGCAGCCCUGCGGCUGUCCACCCGACAGCAGAUCAACCUAUGUGCCUCCCUUUGAUGUGAGUCCUCAAACUGGAGCCUCGUGCCCUGCUCUGAGAACCCGAGCUUUGAAGUUGGCCUAUAAACUGAGCUUUCAGGAAAAAAGUUGUCUGUUGUGCCUCAGAGCACGGCCAGGCCCUGUAAAAGCACACGGAGUGCCAUGAACACCUGAUGAAUAAUUCUUUUUGGGCCCAAGAAAGAUUCAUUCCAUUUAAAGGAGAGGAAAAUUCCCUUGACCUUUUCAUUGAAGUUCUAGGGGUGGGGGUUGGGGGGCACUUAGAGAGGGUUUUUUUGUCUUCUCACUAAAGCCACAUGGAGCAGGCAGUUUGUCUCCAAGAGCUGAGCUCCAGUGACUGCUCCAAAGGGCUUCCUAUCCCUGACUCCCGACCCCAGGUCUGCUCAGCCAACACCCCCUUCACACUCCCUGCCUCCCACCAUGACUGAGGGAGAAGACUGGGUCCUCUCCCAGAAGGAGAGGCCUCUCUCCAGACCAAACCAUGUUGGAAAUGGCAAGGCUUAUGGACUCUACUGCUUUCUUUUCCUUCCAGGGCCUGGCAUGGCGAAGGGGUGAGGCAGACAUGAAUGUGCCUGGAUUUCUCACCUGAAGGAGCCCUGAAAACAGGCUGACAGUUGCCAAGUGCUUAUUCUGCCAGGCCCUCGGCCUUCUUUUGUGCGUGACUAGAUAAUAGGAUGUAAGUUUGUGUGUAGUUUUCUGAGAUCAUUCUUUUUUUUUUUUUUUUUUGGAGACGGAGUCUCCCUCUGUCACCCAGGCUGGAGUGGGCAGUGGCAUGAUCUCAGCUCACUGCAACCUCUGCCUCCCAGGUUCAAGCGAUUUUCCUGCUUCAGCCUCCUGAGUAGCUGGGAUUACAGGUGCACACCACCAUGCCCGGCUAAUUUUUGUAUUUUUAGUAGAGAUGGGGUUUCACCAUGUUGGCCAGCGUGGUCUUAAACUCCUGACCCCAGGUGAUCUGCCCGCCUUGGCCUCCCAAAGUGCUGGCAUUACAGACAUGAGCCACUGUGCCCGGCCAAGACCUUUCUUUAUGGCAAAUGUAACGUACCUAUAGAAGGUACACACAAAAGAAUAUUCAGCUCAGUGAGUGAUCAGAAGGCAAACACCUGCGUAACCACUCUUCAGUCGAGAAAUAGAAGUGUGCCAGGGUGCUGGCAGCCCUGGUCCUGCCCGUGCCUGCUCAGGAGGCCCUCCCACUCCUGCAACGGAUAAGCACUCCACCGACUUUUGUGGUGUGGGCUGGAGAUAGUAACUCACUUCUACUGCAUAGGAUGUGCCAGAAGGUAAUGGAUGUCACUUUCAAGAUGAGGUUACAAAAAGGCCUCUAUCUUGGGCACUCUCCCUUGCAUCCUCACCUGCUUACUGCGAGGGAAGCCCUGUAGUGAGCUAGUGGAAGGAGGUCUACCCAGCAAGGAACGGACACCUGACCACAACCAGUGAGGACCUGAGACCUGCCACAAUCACCUGAGCGAACUUGCAAGUGAGUUAUCCCCCCAGUCAAGUCUUGGGUGACUGCAGUCCUAGCUCACACCUCCAUUACAGCUUUUUGGGAGACCCUGAGCCAGAGACACUCAGCUAAGCCCCGAUUCCUGACAUGUGGAAAUGGUGAGAUAAUAAAUGUUUGUUGUUUUAGGCCAUCAAGUUUUGAGGUAAUUUGUCACACAGUGGUAGACAAUAUACCCACCAAAACUUUUCAUUAUUUUAAAAUUUUAGCCAUUUUGAUGAGUAUGAAGUAAGCUUAACUAGCAUC
rnacentral:lncRNA from 10 species